rnacentral:lncRNA from 1 species
CUAUAACUUUCAAUCAAAAUACAGAAACCUAAGAAAGACGCCAGACAAAAUUGAAAAGAACAACUUCAUGCAAUUCUUCAUUUUUGGUCAAGCGACUACCAACAUAAGAUUUACUCAACAUCAUAUAGACCCAGUAAUUUUGGAAUAACUAUGAAUCUUAAAGUAAGAGCAUCAUUCUAGACAUACGAUUUUUAACUGCAAAAAGAGAACAGGCAAGCUCAUAAAAUCAUGUUGUAUCUAAUGGAGCUAAGAUACAACUUCCAGAAGGGUGGUGAGUAGCUUGCAGAGGCCAACUAACAGACAAUAAGCAGUCAUAAAGACAGACUGACAAUUUUCUACAACUAAAUUGCAGCUAAUUUGCGAGGCAAGCAGUAUGAGACAGAAUAGCAAAUGAGGUCCAUAAUUGAUGAAUUACUACCUCAUGUCAUGGCCAACAGGUUGAAGGCAUCACAUUCACACCGUAGAUCUCAGGCUUUGGCCAUCUCAGUCACUUAGAAGCGAAAGAGAGUGUCAUUCUAUAUGUUUGUCUCCAAUUUGAAAAUGAUGUGGUUGAAGAAGGAAUAAUGGGAUAUUGAUACGUAUGGCAGUAAUUAAGCCAUUGAGGUCUCCCGUGAGCUCUCAGCAUAACACCACUGCAAAAUAGAAUACUCAAAACUCAAGACAGUGUAUAGAAAAUCAUAAAGCUAACUAGAAAAUUCGGGUAAUUGCAGGACAUUUCUGUUCAACAAAUCUUACAGAAAGUUAGAGAGAGAGAGAGAGAGAGAGAGAGAUUUUGUCAUUGAUAUCAAACCUAAAUUAGUAAGCAGAUACAAAAUCCUUCUGGUCAGUCUACAAGAACCAAGUAUUGUCAUGAAAAUUGUUCCAGUUUGUGCCCAAAACUCCAAAAAAUGACCGGUUGAGUAAUUUAAAAAAAUUUGUUGCAACCAAAAAACAUGACAAGCAGAGACAGCUCAAGAAUCUUCAUGAAGCGAAUUCCUAGAGAGUAGCAACCAAUUGCUACCUCAAGAAUCUUCAUGAAGGCAAAUCUUCAUCAAAAAGUCCUGGUGAUGAUAGCUGUUCAAAAACAUCCAAUAAGCUGGGGCAAGGAAUUUUUUCCGAGCAGCUCGCACAGGCCAGCUGACAGUCUUGAGCAAUCAAAAACAUAGACUGAAAACUUUCUGCAAUUAGGUAACAACUAGUUUCAAGGACAAGAAGUCAGGAAAACAAGAGAAAAUUUGUAGUAACAUAGCAGGUAAAUUCUUAUUGCUAGACCUCGUGACUGAAAUGGCAGAUUGACAGUGUGCAAGCUUCGACAAUAAGGAUAUUUGGCUAUUUGAGGCAGCAAUAUGAAAGAAAAGAGGGCCAUCAUAAACAUUUCUAUCCAAGAUACUGGGUUUGCAAUUGAAUGAGCAAUUACUGCUAGUUGUUCUAAACGUUGAUAGGUCAUUUGUAGGAAAUGCAGGCCAAUAGUUAUGGUGUAAAGAAGCUUCAAAAUUCUAACCUCUGUUCGUGAAGCUAUUCUUCCAUCAAUCCUACAAAAACAAAGCGUAGAACAGAAUACAAACAGAGAUACAGUAAAACAUGAAAGCACGAAACAGGAUAGGUGCUUGAGGUCAUUCUAAUUGAUAGUUGCAAGAGUAUUAUGUUGUAAGGAGUAAAUGAGGAGCAACAAUAUUUUGGACCUGAUAAGAAAUGCUAAUGCUGUAGCUUUGAAAGAUAAUAAAUGGAAUGAUAAAAAGGGAGAAGAGAAAAUUGUGAAAAUAACCACGUGGACUUUUUAGGUUUUCUCACGAGAAGGUUCAUCAGAAGGGGAGGUGAAGAGAAGGGGAGAUUGAUUGUAAAGCAAAUUAAGAAAGUUGGUAAGAGGCAAUCUUACAUGAUUGAAUUUGAUCUGAAGAUGAGUUGGUUAUUAAUCAACUUAUGCGUAUGUCUAGGUCUUGAAUGUGAGAAACUUUGGACCACUGGGAGUCGGGGCCGCUGCUCUCAGGAGUGCAUCUUUCUUUUAACAGAGGAGAACCACGAACCCUUAGACGUUUUAGUUUGGUGAGACUUCUCAUGGCAUCCUCAGAGGGUAGAUGUCCAAGCUCUUUGAAAUUCCAUAAAUAUAGUUCUUCAAGAGCAGCGAAGUUUCCGAACCAAUCUGGCAGAGCUUCUACAGCUCCAAAGUCAUAUAGCAAUAGUGACGUGAGAGUGGUCAAGUGUUGGAUCUGAUGUGGCAGUGACUCAAUGUAAGGCAACCCAAAUAAUUCUAAUCCACGGAGUGCGGAUGACGAAGAGGAGGAGGAGGAGGAUAUCAAUCCAGACCAAUCAAACUCAUUGUAAAUUGAAGAAUUUUCAUGAUCAUCACCAUCAUCUGAGAAGGGACCAAUUUCAAGCUCCCUUAAGCUGGUUAGGAAACCAAAUCCUUUGGGCGUCAACCUUGUUUUCAGUUUGGGACACUCGCAUAAUUCCAGCUCCGAGAGAGAAGGCGUUUGUUGCAAAUCAAGCGGAAAGGAGAUAAGAUUGUCAUAAUUAAUCACCCGAAGCUCCUGGAGAGAGGCACAAGAGUGUAGCAUGUCACCGGGCAGAUUCGUCAACCCAUCGCACUCAUCAAUCACCAGCUUUUUAAGAGAUGUAAAGUUUUGCAGGGGAAGGAGGUCUUUGCAUCUGUCGCAGGAAUAAAACUUCAAACAGACUAACUUGGGGAGUGUUGUUGCUGACUCGGGGAUUGUUGUUGUUGUUGGCAAAUCCAUUAACCAUCGAGGAAAUUGAUCGCCCAUAAAAUCGCAAAUUACCAACUCCUCCAAAUUUGGGUGGGGUCGAAGGCCAUCUAACACAUCUUCGUCAUUGUAGGUGUCGCCUUCUCGAUCACGGGCCCACUCAAGUACCAGCCUAAAUAGAUUUGCCUUCUCAGAUAGUUUUGCUUCCUCAGCUCCUUCCUUAUUCUUUACCAGUUCCAGAUUGCGUAUCUCCAAUCUGCCUCUGAGGUUCUUUAAGUUUCCAAGCUCUCCAAUUCGUCGACCCUUCUCUCGACCCACUUUAAAGAACUCUAGCGUCUGAAGGCAAGUCAGUCGCCCCAUCUCUAGCGGCAUUUGAAAUUCUUUAUAAUUAUUAUCAUAAUGGAGAUGUCUCAAGCUAAUCAAAUCGCACAUUCCCUUUGGAAGAACUUUAACUUCUGAAUAACUUAGCAUCAAUGUCUGCAGAUUGUAAAGCUUGCAAAGAGAGUCCGGCAAAAUACUGAUUGCAGCCCACGAAAGGUUAACAUACCGCAAAUGUAUCAGUUUGCCAAUUGAGACUGGUAGCUCUUGAGUUCUUCUUGCACGAGACAAAUUCAAAACAUACAAGUUCUUCAACUUCAUUAACAUAUCACCAGAUAAGUCACCAUUUACGAUGAAUAAUGUAUGAAGCGAAGUUGAUAUAUUCUCAAAAAGUUUUUCUGUGUCUUCUCUGCCACCAGCUGAGUCUACUGCAAGGUAACGAAUCUGAUUACUAUUGUCAAUUAUCUGAGCAUCCCCAUUAUUAAUAACUUUAGUAGACUUUGACAUUGACUCUGCGAGGUCGUGCACCAAAUCAUGCAACUUAUAAUAAUGUGUUUCCUCAUAACUUCUGGUUUCUUCAAACAACAAACUCUGUAAUAAAAUUCUUAGACAAUUCAUUCCAAUUUCCUCCAUCAUCAUUUGGCUGUUGAUGUCUGCUUGGAGGAAACCUUCUGCCAUCCAAAGUUCGAUUAGCUUAUCUCCUCUCAUCUCAGUAUCCUUAGGAAAUAUAGACCAAUAUGCAAAACAUUUCUUAAUGUAUGGAGAUGGCAAAUUAUCAAAACUAAACUUAAGUAUUUGCAUCACACCAUCUCCAUCUCCACUCAAACUCGAAAGCCUAUUCUCCAAAAUUGAUCGCCACUCCUCUUUUCUCUUUAAAGAUAAUAGACCUCCAAUUACACUUGCAGCCAAUGGUAGACCAUCACAUCUUUUGAUCACUCUCUCUUUAAUUGCUUUUAGUUCAUCAGGUUCUUCUUCCCCUCCAACUACUUUUUCUUUUACGAUAGACCAACAAUGAUCAUCAGGUAGUUUUCCUAAUGGAUAGCGUUCAUUUUCCAUCAUCCUCAAAACUCUAGACACACUAUGUGCCACUGGACCUAGACGAGUAGUGACCAGACACCAGCUUACAUUAGUUGGAUUGAGCCCCUUCAAGGUGGUGAAAAAGUCAUCCCACAAUGCCUGAUUAUCAUCCCACACAUCAUCAAGGACAAGGAAAUAUCUUUUUCCCUCUAGUUGAUUCUGAAUUUCUCCAACGAUGACAUUCCUAUCAUCCACUUUAACCUUUUCUUUUGUCAAUUGCACUAGUAUGAGUUUGAAAAGCUCUUCUAUUGGAACUUUUUUCGAUACACAAACCCAAAUCUUUAUGUCAAAGUGCCCAUCAAUUUGCUUGUUGUUGUAUAUCAAUUUAGCCAAAGUUGUUUUGCCUAGACCUCCCAUACCAGUUAUGGAAAGACAGGAAACAACCUUCUCGGAUGGGCUCAACAGCAUCUUCACUAUCUUUGAUUCAUUAUCGGCUCUUCCAAUCAUUGGAGCAACAACAGAGUCGGUCUGCCGAUUUCUUUUGUCUCUAGCAUCAGCAGCAGCAGGGAGGGCAACUGUCAUGACUGCCAUGCCGACCAGUCCCAAAUCACUAGCUUCUUGAUUGAUCUCAUUCAGCUUAAGUUUGAUGCCUCUGACCUUAGAAGCCAUUCUCCAACGGAAAGCAAGAUUAAUAUUAGAGAAGGAGAAGAAGCAGCAUACCUUUCGCUUGUGCUGGUUUCGGGACUCCACCUGGUGACGAAGAGAUUCAUAGUUGAGCUCAUCCAACACAUUGCCAGCAUCAUAAGCCACUUCCUCCAGACUCUUCAACCCUUCUUGCACUCCCCGGUCCUGGUUUUGUUGCCUUUCCACAGCAUCAGCCAAGAGAGCAUUGAUAAAGCGAAGAGAUCGAGUCAUGCUGGCCACAUCCUUCUUGAACCCAACUAACAUACCAAUCCUAUCAGUGGCAAGAGAUACUGCCGUCUCCAAGGUAACCUGAAUAGUGGCACUAAUGACAGCGUCAGCCAUUUUCCUUUCCUUGUAUGGAGCUUAAUUGCUAGGAUGUUUUGUGAAUAUCAGAUUGGUGAUUUCCUUGUAUGUAGCUUGCUAGGAUGCUUUUUGCUAUCAGAUUAUAAAGAUGGAGAUGGACAGAAGGGUAGAGGCCUUGGUCAAGGUUGUUGUAGAAAAGUUAUUAACAAUAGACUGGCAUUUCUAUCUAAAAUAUUGCUAACAAUAAAACUACUAGAACAGUAGUAUAUACAACUGGAUGGGUCACGUUUGUGUCUCGAGUCUCCUUUGUUAUAAUAUUAGGGCGGCUUGGCCAUCUCAAUUAUUGCACCUGCACCAACAAGUGUGUACAGAAAAAAACAAAGCUAAAGAAAUUAUCCAAUGAGGUUUUAUGAUCAGCCAAUUUCGUUCCAGCCAAAAACUUCAGAUCAGGAUGACUUUUGCAGCAUGGAAGGGAUCAGUAGCUCGGACUUACUCUUGACAAGUUGAAAUCCUCAUGGGAAAUCCUAAGGAUAAUUUCGUAUAGCUGCAAACAAAUCGCACAAAGUUUGACUCGGCAAUCGAGGUGAGUAUGCCGAAUGUAGAGAUACUCGACUCUUUAAGUUGGCUUGCUUUUACAUAUUUUUAAUGAUUUUUAUUGCACGCAUUUCUCUUAGAUUUUUCUUAUUUACUAGAGUGAAAUGUCUAAUUUACCUAUUUUAAAAUAUUAUAAAUACUACUUAUUAUCUUCAGUCAAGUUCAGUGUAUUCUUGUUUGAUUGGAACUUAAUGCAUCAUCAAAACAUCAUAUUGUGCACAGAAUGCAGAUAUCUUUGGAAAAUAAUUUAUCUAUGCAAUACAAAACCACUCACAACUCAGGACACCACAGAGCAAAUGAUAAGGCUAACUGGAAGAUGGCAUGACAUCUUUGUUUAGUCAAUUGAUUAUUCACAGAGCUAAAUAAAUAGUUGGUGUUGUUGUUGUGGUUUUCUAACCUGAAAUUAGUAAGCAGACACCAAUUCUUUCUGCUCGGAGUGUAGAGAAAAAUUGGACGAAGAUGGAGGAGAACAAAAGAAUAGAGUGAAAUGUCUAAUUUACCUAUUUUAAAAUAUUAUAAAUACUACUUAUUAUCUUCAGUCAAGUUCAGUGUAUUCUUGUUUGAUUGGAACUUAAUGCAUCAUCAAAACAUCAUAUUGUGCACAGAAUGCAGAUAUCUUUGGAAAAUAAUUUAUCUAUGCAAUACAAAACCACUCACAACUCAGGACACCACAGAGCAAAUGAUAAGGCUAACUGGAAGAUGGCAUGACAUCUUUGUUUAGUCAAUUGAUUAUUCACAGAGCUAAAUAAAUAGUUGGUGUUGUUGUUGUGGUUUUCUAACCUGAAAUUAGUAAGCAGACACCAAUUCUUUCUGCUCGGAGUGUAGAGAAAAAUUGGACGAAGAUGGAGGAGAACAAAAGAAUAGGGUCGAAGUUUUGGUCAAAGUUUCUUUUUCUUCUGUUUUUUCCCCUUACUUGGUAUGAAUUAUGAAGCCACUUGCUUAAUUACAUUAUACACAAAGCUAAAUCAAUAGUUUUCUCUUGGAGAUUAAGAAAGAAAUCUUGCUACAUAAACAAAAAUUUUUUCUUACUUGGUAUGAAUUAUGAAGGCACUUGCUUCUUCCUCGAAUCCUGCUUGGUUUUAGUUAAUUAUGAUUACAGAGACUGCUUAGUUUACGCUAAUGCUGGGGCCUUGGAUGCUCAAAAGGUCUAAUCCUUGGUAUUUAAAAAAAAUGCUGAAAACAAAGGUAGGUACAGUACAACUGGCAUUUCCACCUAAAAUAUUAGCAAUAACAAUAGAUAGACAAAUUCUCAAUUGUUAUAUUAGAGCGGCUUUGCUAUCUCAAUUAUUGCACCUAAAACAACAAGAAGUGGUCUUCUCAGCGUCGAAGAAGAGAGUGCUUCUUUUGACAAACUUGAAUGCAUUUUCCACCAAAAUCGACUGGCGUUUUACUCGAAUGUUUCUAAAUCAAUGCUGGGUUUUUUUGUUCUUUAUUACUUUUUUUGGAAAAAUCAUUUAAAAUGUUCCUCACAUUUCAUUAGAUGAAAUUUUUUCGUCCAUCAUUUUUAAAAGGGCAAAUUCCACUUUACCCCCUGUGGUUUAGUAUUUUUUAUAUAACCCCCUCUAUAAUUUUAAAAGUUAUACAUAACCCUUUCAUGAUUUGGAUUAAAGUGUCAAAGUAACGGAAAUGAUUAGUUGUAAUAGAAUCAUUUAAAAUGUCAAAAUACCCUUAUGCAAAGUUGAAAAUUUUUUAUUAACCAAGGGGGGUUAUGUGUAUAUUUUGAAACUAUAAGGGGGUUAUAUGGUAAAGUAUUAAAUCAUAAAGGGAUUAUAUGGUAAAACAUAAAAAUUAUACGGAGUUAGUGUAUCAUGUAUUUAUAAGGAUAAAUUCGAUAUUUUCAAAAGUUUCAUUAUGAAUGAUUAUUUUCAUUACUUUGACACUUUAAUUCAAACCAUAAGGGGGUUAUAUGGUAAAGUAUUAAAUCAUUAAAGGAUUAUAUGGUAAAACAUAAAAAUCAUAUGGAGUUAGUAUGUCAUGUGUUUAUAAGGGUAAUUUCGAUAUUUUCAAAAGUUUCAUUAUGAAUGACUAUUUCCAUCACUUUGACAUUUUAAUUCAAACCAUAAGGGGGUUAUGUAUAACUUUUGAAACUAGAAGGGGGUUAUGUAGAAAAAUAUUAAAUCACAAGAGGAUAAAGUGUAAUUUGCCCUUUUUAAAAUAUUGAUUUUAUGUCGCUUACAAAAUCAAGGCAGCCAAAUUGAGUUGCAACCUGGGCUUGUGACCACUGAAGACACGAAGUGAUCCACUACGUGAUCAUUGUUUUAGGUAGGGGUGGCAAUUCCUGCCACGACUCGAAAACACGACACGAAUCUAACACGAAAUUAAUGGAUUUGGGUUGAGGUUUCGGAGGUUUGAGUCAGAAACGGGUCGAACUCGAUGAACCCGAAAAGAAAACAUGUCAAUUUCGGGUCAACCCAUGGUGACCUGAUAUGACCCGAUGUGACCCGUUUACGAAUUAAAAAUAAGUUAAUAAAUAUAAAAAUUAUUUUAUCUAACUAAACUAAAUCAUUCUUUUUUUUUCAAAGACAUUAAUUACUUAAUCCUAAAUGAAUUUAUUUAACUUGUGUGAAAUUGAAAUUAUUAUAUUUGGACAAAUAAUAUAUUAUGUUAUUUUUUACUUUUAUGCUGUUUUAAUUUAUUUUAUAUUUGGUUUGGGAUAAAACACUUUUACGGUGUUUAAUUUAUUUUAGAUUUGGUUUGAAAUUAUUUAUUUAAAUUUUUAUUACUUGAUGAUGUAAUUAAUUUUGUGAGAAAUUGAUUUUAUUGGAAAUUAUAAUGAUAAAUUAAUAAAUUAAAAUUAAGUUUCGGGUCGACCCGCAAACCCGAAUUUUCGGGUUCGUAUCAGGUAUCCUGACCCGUUUCGGGUUGGCGGGUCAGGUUCGGAUCAGCGGAUUUUCUGUUAUAUUUGGACCUCAACCCGACCCACACAACAACCGAACCCGACCCGAUUGCCACCCCUAGUUUUAGGUGCAAAAACUAAUUUUUUCUAAAAAUUAAAAGAAACUUCAAAAAAAUUGAAAAAAAAAAUACUAGGAAGAAAGAGUAAGAUGUAAGAAACAUUUAAGUAGCCGGAGUUUUAAACCUAGGACCUUUAAUUCUUGUAGUUUCACCUUUAACUAAUUGACCAAGCCUCUUUCCCACAUAAAGGCUAUCACUUUUGGGCAUUAAUGUGAUUUCAUUAAAUUUUUGGACCGAAUCUUUGUGUUGUUAAACAUUUUAUACAUUCAUCUUGGGGAAACAAAUGUAUAGUAUAUCUUAAGUUCAAAGGGAUAAAGUGUUACUCAUGUCUCACUCCCAAGUUCGAAAUGUAAUCAAAGUGUAAUCAACCCUUAAAUUCAUUCAUCACAUCACUCUCUAUAUUCAAAACAACAAAUCACCAGUUUUGGCCAGCUGAGACAGAGAGAAUAAAAAGACAGUGCCGUGAUGCAGUUCAGCUAAGAAUCAAAUGAAUUCCAAAAGUAAAGGCAUUGUUUAGGGGCCAACAGGGUUUCCCUUUGAGCAUUUUAAUUAGCAAAAAUCACUGCAAAACAGACAAUCAAACUUAGGACACCAUAUAUAUAGAAAACCCAUAAAGCUAACUGGAAACUGCAUGACACUUUUUUGUUCAGUCAAUUGUUCAGAAAUCUAAAUCAAUAUCUCUGAUGAACCAAUGUUUUUUAUAUGUGUUGAAUGUUGUUUGGUUUAGUAAAUUAUCAUUCCAGCGAGUAGUUACUUUACGCUAAUGCUGGGGGCGCUUGGGUUGUUCAAGAUAUUUAAAAAAUACUGGGAAAAUGGUGGGCAGAGCUAACAUUUCCAGCUAAAAUAUUAACAAUGUAUAAUACUAGCCGGAGAAAAUAAAAUAUAUAUAGAAAUGGAUGGGUGACGGUGGAGUCUCAAUUGUUAAUUUGUUAUUAUAUUAGGGCGGCGGCUUUGGCCAUCUCAAUUAUUACCGCUGCACCCACGAGCGUAUGGAGAAAAAUCCUAAACAAAUCAUCCAAUGAGGGUUUCUGAGCUUAGAAAGAAGAGCGCUGCUUCUUUUGACAAACUUGCAAAUGCAUUUUCCACAGUACCAUCUAACAUUUCCAUCUAAAAUAUUACUAACAAUAAAACUACUAGAAAAGUAGUAUAUAGAACUCUCAAUUGUUAUUAUAUCAUAUUAGGGCGGCUUGGCCACCUCAAUUAUUGCACCUGCACCAACAAGUGCGUCCAGAAAAAAAAAAGCUAAAGAAAUUAUCGAAUGAGGUUUUAUGAUCAGCCAAUUUUGUUCCUGUGAAAUGAUAGUGUGUCUUUAGAUCAGGAUGACUUUUGCAGCGUGGAAGGGAUUAGUAGCUCGGACUUACUCUUGACAAGUAGAAGUCCUCAUGGGAAAUCCUAAGGAUAAUUUUAUUUUUUUCGACAGUCGAUAGUAGUUUAUUCUACACCUACUCCUACACCUAUUCUAACUUAUCCUUAAGGGGAGACCCGACUGGGCUAAUGGAUGGGGCCGACGGGAACCGAACCACUAUCGAACCAGACGGUUGCAAAGUAUGCCGAAUGUAGAGAUACUCGACUCUUUAAGUUGGCUUGAUUUUACAUAUUUUUAAUGAUUUUUAUUGCACGCAUUUCUCUUAGAUUUUUCUUAUUUAUUAGAGUGAAAUAUCUAAUUUACCUAUUUUAAAAUAUUAUAAAUACUACUUAUUAUCUUUAGUCAAGUUCAGUGUAUUCUUGUUUGAUUGGAACUUAAUACAUCAUCAAAACAUCAUAUUGUGCACGCACAGAAUGUAGAUAUCUUUGGAAAAUAAUUUAUCUAUGCAAUACAAAACCACUCACAACUCAGGACACCAUAGAGCAAAUGAUAAGACUAACUGGAAAAUGGCAUGACAUCUUUGUUUAGUCAAUUAAUUAUUCACAGAGCUAAAUAAAUAGUUGGUGUUGUUGUUGUGCUUUUCUAACCUGAAAUUAGUAAGCAGAUACCGAUUCUUUCUACUCAGACUGUAGAGAAAAACUGGAUGAAGAUAGAGGAGGACAAAAGAAAAGGGUUGAGGUUUUGGUCAAACUUUCUUUUUUUCCCCACCUUAUUUGGUGUGAAUUAUGAAGCCACUUGCUUAAUUAUACACAAAGCUAAAUCAAUAGUUUUCUCUUGGAGAUUAAGAAAGAAAUCUUGCUACAUAAACAAAAAUCUUUUCUUACUUGGUAUGAAUUAUGAAGCCACUUGCUUCUUGACAGGUGUCGAGUCUGUGCAAUAAUAAUUACUAAAAAGUCCUAGUUACCAUAACAAUUAAUUAUAGAACAAAUCCAAGUACUGGAGCAGGGAUCCUAGGUGUGUAAUGGGUUACUUGAUUCACCCUGUCCCGAAGAGUUUGUUUGAUCCGAUAUACCAGAAUUGUCUAUAAAAGUAUUAAAUUUGCGUACAAUGGCAAGUAGGAUCGAUUUCACAGGGAACGGGUAGGAAGUUGUUUCUUUCCAAAUCAAUAGAACAAAAUUGGGGGAUAUUUAAUGAAGUGAAAAUGAAAAUAAAAUAAACAAAAUUCAAAAGCUAAUUCACCAAGUACAAUUUACUAAAAUAGCAAUUAAUAAAAUUCUACCCAAAAAAUCAACUUUUCAGGCACGGUCCAAUUAAAUGAUCAUCGAUGCAAAAAUAUUUCAUUCAUUCGUCACUAGGUUGGUUAUAGCCACCAACAAGCUCUGACAGCCAAUUCUUCCUUACUUUUUCGAUAGCCAAGGUACGACCAUUGACUGCUUCUCUAACCAGAAAACAACCCCAGGUACGACCGUAGUGUUGAGUAUGUCUUUGUAUCCCACAUCGAAACUUUUAUAGAGAAGUAUCUCAUCUUGGUAGUUAUAAAUAUAGUGGACUUAAGUGAGUUUAAGUGUGCUAACAGCACCAGCCCAAGUGUCAUGUGCACCAGUCCAAGAGAGUUUUUAGGGGGUCCACGCCCCAGUCUAAGAGAGGUUUUGGUUUGGCAUCAAACCAAAAGAGCAAGUCAUAGGCUUUUGGGUCAUUAAGCAUUUAGCGCUAUUUAGGCUCUUUUGUGUUUUCAGUUUAGGUGCCUUUUGGACCUGGGAAUUAUUUCCUAAGGUUUUGUUCUCUCUUUCUAUUAUAGUAAAUCUGCUACCCCUUCGCCUGUGGACGUAGGUCAAUUGGACCGAACCACGUAAAUUUCAUGUUUCUCUAUUUGAUUUAUUUAUUUUGUUAUUAUCAUUAUUGAGUUGGCAAAAACUCUAUUGUUCUCGUUGGUCAAUUUUCUAGGACCAGACCUAACAAAUUAGUAUCAGAGCUUUAAGUUCCAGAUUCAGCUUCAGGUUUUGGAUCAUGGUCAGAUUUUGGGUUCUUGAUGACAAUAACAAGUUUUUGGUGCUACAGAGAGUGAAGAAAAAUUUUUUUUGUUGGAGUUCAGUUGGGUUUUUGAGAAGAGUUAUUUGGCCCGUUAGAACUCAUUGAAGGUUUUGAGAAGAAGGUGGAGCAUAACUACCAUAUUCGUGGUUUUUUAGCCUGUUGGGAUCUGUUGAACAUUUUGUAAGAUUUGGCCCGUUGGAACCUGUUGAACCUUUUGCAUCUUGGUUCAUUGGUGGUUCGUUGUGGUUCGUUGGGACUUUUAUGGUUCAUUGAGAUCCGUUGGGACUUUUAUGGAGAAGGUGGAGCUUGUUUUUAUUCAUCUGUUAUUUGCCGAUAUUUGAUACAUGCCAAGGUGGAGAUUUGUUGAGUAUGUCUUUGUAUCCCACAUCAGAACUUUUAUAGAGAAGUAUCUCAUCUUGGUAGUUAUAAAUAGUGGACUUAAGUGAGUUUAAUUGUGCUAAAGGCACCAGGCCAAGUGUCAUGUGCACCAGUCCAAGAGAGUUUUUAGGGGGCCCACGCCCCAGUCUAAGAGAGGUUUUGGUUUGGCAUCAAACCAAAAGAGCAAGUCAUGGGCCUUUGGGCCAUUAAGCAUUUAGUGCUAUUUAGGAUCUUUUCUGUUUUCAGUUUAGGUGCCUUUUGGACCUAGGAAUUAUUUCCUAAGGUUUUGUACUCUCUCUUUUGUACUCUCUUUCUGUUUUAGUAAAUCUGCUACCCCUUCGCUCGUGGACGUAUGUCAAUUGGACCGAACCACGUAAAUUUCAUGUUUCUCUGUUUGAUUUAUUUAUUUUGUUAUUGUCAUUAUUGAGUUGGCAAGAACUCUAUUGUUCUCGUUGGUCAUUUUUCUGGGACCAGACCUAACACGUAGGAAUUUAAUUAUCCAGUUGCAUUAAAACUAGAAGAACCCAACCCUAACCAAUAAACACGCUAAGAGGGUUUAUUUAAAUUAGAUCUUACGUUUCUCCAACACAAAGUCAAUUAUGAUGGUUGUCACUAGUUAUCAACUAAACGAACAAUUACGGAUUCAAUUUAGUUAACGUGACAGUAGGCUAUUAUAUUAAAUUAAAUAUCCGACCGUUGAUACUCAAUUAAUAAAAUAACCAUGAAUAAUUAAUUCAGGAAACGCACGAAUAGUAACAAAUUGGAAGAAAUAGUGAAAGUUCGAUUAGAUCUCACAGAUGUUAUGGACCGCGCCUUCGCGUUAAUCCUUAGGUAGAGGAGAAAACUAGCCGUUCCUCAUAUCUCGCGUGAUUUAAUUGAAAUCAUUCAAUUAAUUGCCAAAGAAUUGGGAAAAGUGAAAUAAUGAGGCUACAAACGAAAGGUCUUGCUUCCUUCUUGUUUCGAGUUCUUACAGGAGGAAAGUAAAGGGAAAGUCUCACACAAGUUAUCAGAAACCAAAACAGAGAAAGCAAUCAUCUAUAGGGAAGAAAACGAAAACUCAAACUACUAAACCCACGUGAUUCUGGCUUUUCUUCUAUUCCCUGCCGAAAAGAAAAACAUCCCACAGAAAAGCAAAAGCUAAUCUAUUCUCCCCCCCUGAAUCUGGCUUUCUUUUCUCUUUUGUAGCCGCCGCCAGCAGAACAAAAACGUCCCACAGAAAGCCAUUCUCUAGGAGUUUUAAUCCCCUGCACCCCCGCGGUCCACGUGAACCUGACUUCCUAAUUGCCCUCCUGCUACUAUCAAUCCCACGGGUCCGGCUUCUAGGUGUAUCUCUUUAGUUUUUGGCGUGGACACGCUAUGAAAUAAAGGGUCUUCUGGAAAUUCGCCUUAAGAGAGCACUUUUGACACCAACCACCUACAAUUUACACAAAUAUGAAAGAUGAGCAAAAUCUCAAUUCUUAGUACAGUAAGUAGCCAAAAUUACGACCAAAUAACAGCGCAAAAGGUGCCCAAUAAUUGCUCUAUCACUUCUUUCUCAAAUUUUACUUGGUUUUAGUUAAUUAUGAUUACAGAGACUGCUUAGUUUACGUUAAUGCUGGGGCCUUGGGAUGCUCAAAAGGUCUAAUCCUUGCUAUAUAAAUAAAAUGCUGAAAACAAAGGUAGGUAGAGUACAACUGGCAUUUCCACCUAAACUAUUAGAAAUAACAAUAGUAGACAAAUUCUCAAUUGUUAUAUUAGAGCGGCUUUGCUAUCUCAAUUAUUGCACCUAAAACAACAAGAAGUGGUCUUCUCAGCGUAGAAGAAGAGAGUGCUUCUUUUGACAAACUUGAAUGCAUUUUCCACCAAAACUAACUGGCGUUUUACUCGAAUGUUUCUAAAUCAAUGCUGGGUUUUUUUUUUGUUCUUUAUUACUUUUUUUGGAAAAAUCAUUUAAAAUGUUCCUUACAUUUCAUUAGAUGAAUUUUUUUCGUCCAUCAUUUUUAAAAGUGCAAAUUUCACUUUACCCCUUGUGGUUUAGUGUUUUAUUAAAUAAAUAUUUAUAGCUGAAUGUUUAAUAAGUUUAAUUUGACAAUUUUACCCUUAUAUCCUUUCAUUCAAAAAAGAAAUAGAAUCUAUGAUUUAAUUAGUUUAAAAUUGUAAGGUAUGAAAAUGACAAUAUUUAUUUUUAAAUCAAAUUAAUAUAAAAGAUGAAAUAUAUUAUAUGAGGAGUAUGGAGAGGAUGUGAAAGUCAUUAAAAAGGGAGAAAAGAGAAAUUAAAAAUCGUUAGAUUGAAAAUAUUAGGUUGUUUAAUUAGAUAAGAAUUUUGAGCAUAAUUAACAAACAAGGGUAGAUUUAGUAGAUAAGAUAAGGUAGUUGUAAAAAUUCUGUUGAAUCUUUUCAGAAUUAAGCAUUCAGUUAGGAUUCUUGUGCUGAAAAAAAUACACACAGGUUCAGCACUGCUUAACAAGUUCAGUAAAUAGAUUUUCAUUUAUCAAACACUCAAAAUAUCUGAAUAUUUGAAAAAAUUCAGAUUCAGCACUUUUUUAUGUUAUCAAACAAACCCUUAGUCUCCAGCCAUUGGAGCCUUUUGACGCGAACUCCAACAUUUUUCAGAUGAAGGAGCCUGGUUACUUAAUUCCUAUCGCUGUACGAUCACGUACUUAUAGAAAUUACUAUCUUUUGACGCGAGAAUCGACACUUUUGGUGAAGAACCCCAGUUAUUCAAUAGUAAUGACUAGCGGAGUACAGUCAAUUUUAUUUCACAGCCAGAUAACACAAUAACUCAAAAUAACAUAGCAAAAGAAAACAAAAAUAGUAGCCGUUAGCCUCAUUUCUUCAAAUAUGGAGAACUAAAGUUAAUACUGGACCAAUUUACAUGAAAUGCCAACAAUCAUUCCCUAUGCCUAGAAAAGUUAACAAAGAAAUCAAAAGAGUCAAGCAAUCAUUGAUAUUCACCAAAGAGAUGUUCUUGACUCAACCACAUUAACUAGAUACACUUCUAUUAUUAAAACUUGACAAUAGUAGAAUUAGAGUCAAUAAUCCAACAUCAAACCUUGGUAUUCACAUGAGAGCUAAGCACCAAAAAGAAAGAAAGAAAAUGAACGAAAGAUAGAUAAAUAACAAACUAGAAAUAAAGGAAAAACACCUAAAAACUAAAAACUACUAAAACUAGAACCACAACUGAUCCCCCCACACCUAAACGAUACAUUGUCCUCAAUGUAGCAAAUAAACAUCAAAAGUAGGAGAAAUGGCAACAAAACUUUCCUGAAGUUGGGUCAAAGUGGUGGGUGAUAACCAAAUUGAGGCGUAAGACCCGCAUGAUGCAUGAAUGCUACAUAAACAAAAAAAUUUUCUUACUUGGUAUGAAUUAUGAAGCCACUUGCUUCUUUCUCUAAUCUUGCUUGGUUUUAGUUAAUUAUGGUUACAGAGACUGCUUAGUUUACGCUAAUGCUGGGGCCUUGGGAUGCUCAAAAGGUCUAAUCCUUGGUAUUUAAAUAAAAAGCUGAAAACAAAGGUUAGGUACAGUACAACUGGCAUUUCCACCUAAAAUAUUAGCAAUAACAAUAGUAGACAAAUUCUCAAUUGUUAUAUUAGAGCAGCUUUGCUAUCUCAAUUAUUGCACCUAAAACAACAAGAAGUGGUCUUCUCAGCGUCAAAGAAGAGAGUGCUUCUAAACCACAAGGGGAUAAAGUGUAAUUUGCCUUUUUUAAAAUAUUGAUUUUAUGUCGCUUAUAAAAUCAAGGCAGCCAAAUUUAGCUGCAACCUGAGCUUUUGACCAUUGAAUACACAAAGUGAUUCACUACGUGAUCAUUAUUUUAGGUGCAAAAACUGUAUUUUUUCUAAAAAUUAAAAGAAACUUCAAAAAAUUGAACAAAAAAAUACUAGCAAGAAGGAGUGAGAUGUAAGAAACAUUUAAGUAGCCGGAGUUUUAAACCUAGGACCUUUAAUUCUUGUAGUUUCACCUUUAACUAAUUGACCAAGUCUCUUUCCCACAUAAAGGCUAUCAUUUUUCUGGGCAUUAAUGUGAUUUCAUUAAAUUUUUGGACCGAAUCUUUGUGCUGUUAAACAUUUUAUACAUCCAUCUUGGGAGCAAAUCGCAUAUAUCUUUUUUUUUUUUUUUUAAAUAAAUUGUAUAUAUCUUAUGUUCAAAAGGAUAAAGUGUUACUCAUGUAUAUAUCUUAAGUUCAAAGGGAUAAAGUGUUGCUUAUGUCUCACUCCCAAGUUCGAUAUGUAAUCAAAGUGUAAGCAGCCCUAAAAUUCAUUCAUCAUUCUCUGUACUCACAACAGCUAGUCACAAGCUUUGGCCAGCUGAGAGCCUGAGACAGAGAGAAUAAAAAGACAGCUAACAUUUAAAAAAUACCGGGAAAAUGGUGGGCACAGCUAACAUUUACAGCUAAAAUAUUAACAAUAUAUAAAACUAGCAGGAGAAAAUAUAUAUAUAUAUAUAUAUAUAUACGUGUGUGUAUAUAUAUAUAGAAAUGGAUGGGUCACGUUCGUGUCUCAAUUGUUAAUUUGUUAUUAUAUCAAGGCGGCGGCUUUGGCCAUCUCAAUUAUUACCGCUGCACCAACAAAUUAUCCCAAAAAAAUCCUAAACAAAUCAUCCAAUGAGGGUUUCUCAGCUUAGAAAGAAGAGCGCUGCUCCUUUUGACAAACUUGCAAAUGCAUUUUCCACCAAAGCCACUCGGUGUUAUACUCGAAAGUUUCUUCAUCAAUGCUGGUGCUUGAAUGAUGGACCUUUGAUUGUGGAAAAGAUCUGCAGUGCGGUUGUGACAUUGAUUAGGUUCAAGAUUUAAAUGUCUUUCAUUAGAUUUACCAAUUUAUUCUCCUUAUAACACAUUUAAUUAAGAAUUAACAAUUUUAUUAAAAUUACUCCAAGAGAAACUGUCAGUAUUUAAGAAUUCUUUUGAAGUAAUUAUUACUAAUAUAUAGUUUCCAUUUCUUAAUCUCUCCUAAAGAAUUGUUGCAAACUUUUUUGGUUUGUGCGUCACUUUGCAUCUAAGAAUUCUAAAUUUCACCACCAACUGAUAUAUAGUUACUUUAGUUUCCUUUUCUCUUCUAUUUCCAAUUUCUCCUUACUUAUGUUUCCUUGUUGCAAGGCUUGCCAAACUAUAUAAGAUAUUUGUUAUCGAUUUCUUUGAUUCCUAAAACACAAGAAAUUUUUCAUUCCUAAUAUGUAUUCUUUUUUUUUUAAUUGUUUAAUUGAUUUUUAAAAGAUAUUAGUAAAGAAUUUUAGAUCCAAUUUGGUGCAGUGCUCCUUUGACAAACUGAAUCGGUUUGCAUUUUCAAUUCACCUUUCUUAAUGGUAUGGUCGUUGCUGGUAUUCUUCAUCUGCUUUUGAUCCGCACGCUUAAAGAAAAUGCCAACCAUAUCAUUGAGACUCUUAAUAAAUCUCACGAUGAAUAAUUUCUUGGGACAUGAACGUACGAUGAUGAAUAAUUUCUUGGGACAUGAACGUACGAUGAAUAAUUUCAUCUAAAUGGCUGAUCCUUGGUGGAUCAGAUUUCAAACAUAAUUUAAGUACGCCUUACUUUUUGUUUGCUUUCUGCUAACAGUACUGUGGCGGUGUGGCUUAAAAUCCUCCAAUUUCUUUAAAUUCCAGAGACACCCAGAGUUCUCCAUUUCCCUUUUGUGAUUUUGCAACAUUAAUUACCUCAUUCUCUAAUCCUAGGGACAUAGGCUAAAAACUGAAAAAAAAAAAAAAAAUCGCUAGUUUAGUUAUCAAAGGCAUGAAGUGGAGCUAGUGAUCAGGCUUGACACGUAGCUACAUAAUUGGUCAGUGAUUGCGUGCUUUCUUAGCUUUUACAAUUGCAAAAUUUUCAAAAUAGUCUCUUGUAUUUCCAAAAGUUCUUUAGUGAUAGGGUGCAAAAUUACUAUUCAAUUUAUGAUUAUUUCCCCUUGAUUGUAACCAAAUAUUGUUUUAAUUAAUGGAUUCUACUUAUAUUUGGUUAAUGGUAUUAAUUGUAAGAAAAUGAGCAAAACGUAAUUAAAAAGGAUAAUUUUCAAGUUAAUUUGGUGGUGACACGAUCAGGACUUGCUUUCAAAUCUAGAAGACUCGAAAAUUUUCUACGCAAAGGUUUCCUAAUUUGAGUCAACUAUGAAUAGCUUUUGAAAGAUUUGGGAAGACGUUAUUUAUAUUUAUUAGUAGUAGUAUUACAUUAGGAAACAUGAAAUAUUAUUAUCUUUUGUAUUUUCUUUUUCUAAUGAGGCAAUGUGCUUUUGUUAUUAGUAGUAGAUAUCAAGUAGAAAAUUGAGGGAGAGAAAAAGCCGGCAUUUCACGUGAUUAAUACUUCGGGAAGCAAGAAACGAGAGGGGAGCCAUCGUGGCUAGUCCCGUGUCAAGGAGGGGAGCGGCUUGGCUUUUCUCUUGUUUUUCAGUUUCUUUAGUUUUUUUUUUUUUUUUAUCAAAGACUUAUGCAGCUUGCUUUGAGAAAAAUCGUGUCAAUUGUUCCAAUUGUUCAUGUGCAACUAAAUUCUCUUUUUUAGUUAAGAAAUAACAAAAGAUUUGGUUCAUCUACAUCUGUGAGAUCUAACUGUUUUUAUCUAUUUCUCUUAUUUGUUAGUAUUUGUAUGUUUUCUUAUUUAAUUUCUCAUGAUUGUUUUGUUGUUUGGAUAUCAUGGGCACCCGAUAUUUAAUUCAACUUAACAAACUGAAUCUAAUUAAGAUAGUUAAAUUUGUAAUUGUUUAAUUAUCUUAAAUUAGUGGCAAUUAACGUGAUUGGUGCCAUGUUAGGAAGACAUACGAUCUGAUUUAAAUAAAUUCUGGUAGUGUGUUUAUUGAUUAGAACUAGGAUUUUCUAGUUUCUAAUGCAAUCAAGAAAUUAAAUUUUAUGAGCGUACGGCGUACCUAGGGUUGUUUCUUGGUUAGAGAAAUAGUUAACGGGCGUACUUUACCUAUCGAGACACUAAGGAAAAACUGAUUGUUUAUUACGUAUAUGACAACUAUAACCUAUUUAUUAGCAAAUAAUUGAGAUAAUUAUGUGCAUCGAUGAUCAGUUAUUUGAACCACUUCCGGAGUUAUGUCUUUGGCUAGAGCUUAUUUAUUCUUAAGUUGAAUCUAAUUUGCUUUAGUUUAAUUAUUUUCAGUCACAUUGAUUAUUUACUUUUGUUUUAAUUCUCCAAACCCCUCUUCCCCCCCCCCCCCCACACACUAAUUAGCUUUUACUUAGAAAGAAAUAGAUUUUUCCUCUAAUUCCUGUGGAGACGACCCUACUUGUCAUUAUACCCGUUUAUAUCUUUUUGUGAGUAGAAAUUUAUUAUUGCACAGGCACGACUCUUGUCUUCUAGCACUUUAAAACAUCAGACAUUUCGAAGCAAAUGUCUUGUUUAUGGACAAUAUACAAAAUUUAAGUGGUGAGAAAUUUGAGGAGUUUGUAUAUUAUGAAAUAUUGGAGAUCCCUUGUUAUUUGUAUUCGUCUUAAUUUGUUCCUCCAUUUCACAAUUAGUUUGCAUGCAUUUUAAUGGUGAAUUUGUCCACAAUUUAUAAUCAUUUAAUAAAGCGUUUUGUAAUGACAUCGAAAAUACACUUUGAGGGAAAUUGAGGCAACUCUCUUUUAAAUAGAUCAUGAAAAAGAAAAUGCUACAGCUGAUUGACAGUUUGAACUUUGGAGGCACCAUAUUCAUAGCAACAAAUCACAAGCUUUGGUUUAUCCAGCUGAGACACGAAUAAAAAAGAUAGCGCCGAGAUGUGAUCCAGCUAAGAAUCAAAUGAAUUUCAAAAGGCAGUAUUACUAAUUAGGGGCCAACAAGGUCUAUCCAAUAAGCUUUCUCGAUCGGCUUAGAAAAAAGAGUACUGCUUCUUUUGACAAACUUGCGCGCAAUUUCCUCCAAAGCUCCUACUGGGCGUUUCACUUGAAAGUUUCCAAGUCAGUGCUGGGCUUUUCUGACUGCUUCUUUUCCUUUUUCGAAUUGUUUGCUCCUUUUGUGCUCGAAUGCCGAGCCUUUGAUUUGUGGAAAAAUAAUUUAGAGAGUAAAUUCCAGCACUUGGUUUUCAAUAUCAAAGACCUCAAAUGUUCUGGUGAUUCUUGGAGUAGAAAUCAAAAGAGGAAAACUAUUACGUCGAUCCUUAAUUAAUAAAGGAGUACAAUUAUCCUGUUUUGUGAGAAAUUUUAAGUGGCAUGGCACAAAUGUUAAAAUCCCAUGUUUCACCUCAACUUCUAAUGACUAGUAACAUGUCAUGUGUUUUGCACCGUGAUCAUAUUAACCUAACAUAUAACAUCAUUGAGAUACUAAAUUCUUUGUUAAAUUUUGACUUUAAGCAUCAAACUAGAGCAAUUCUUUUGGUUUUCAGUUUCUUUAACUAGUUCUUUGAAAAAUACUAGUUUAGGUGUACAUGUAUUGCACGCUGCAGUUGCUAUGACUAAUAACUUAUUCAAAAUUCUUUAAACAAUUGAACUUUAAGUAAAUGAAACAAACCUUCAACGAAGUACUAAAAUUCAUAUAUAAAUCAAAAUGCACUCUUCUAGUAACCACUCCAACACUAUAUAGCCUUGACAAAUAGACCAUAGAAUUCAAACAGAACAGUAAAAUGUAAUAAGAAAUAAAUGGGCUAAGGAGGUUCUGAUUUAAUGAUUAAAGUACUUCAAGAAUAAAAGGUCCUAGAUUCAAUUCUCUGAAUUUUUACUUCUCAUGUAUGAAAAUAAAGUAUGAACGUAAAAAUGAGCUAACCUAGUGUUUCAAAAAUAAAAACUACAAAGGAUCUUUGUAUACUCUUAAAACUUAUGCCUAUAAUUUCUUCUUGUUAAUUUGCAACCUAAACCUUUUAACUUUUUUAGUAUCUUUCCAUUUCAAAAAUUGGAGAUCCUUGAUAUUUGUAGUUGUCUUGACCGAUUCAAUAUCUUUCCUCCAUUUCAUAAUUAGUUUGCAUGCAUUUUAAUGGUGAAAUUAUCCACGAUUUGUAUAGAAUACACCUAGGGCUGUCAUUCCGUCUUUGAGCUUGGGGUUGCUUCAUUAAUUUUAAAAAAAUCUUAGGUCAAAUGAACUUUAGCAAAGAAUAAUUUGAAAUAUGCAUUUGCAACCUAAGAUUAAUUUGAAAUCUUAGGUUAAAAAUUUAUCUUCAUACCUUUUGCAAGGUCAUUGAAAACACACAUUGAAGGUACUUGACGUUACCCUGUUUUUAAAUAAAAUCAUUGGACAUUAGAAAGUAUAGAGGCAAGAAUUAUUACAGACGGAAAUUUAAGAGGUACUUUGAAGACAUCAAAACACACUUUGAAGGUCCUUGAGGUAAACCUUUUCUUAUAUAUAUAUAUAAAUCAUUAGCAUUAGAAAAUUAGGAGGAAGAAUUAUUAAAAAUAGAAAUAUUAAAAAAUCUACCUAAUAUUCCUUUUAGGAUAAAUUUUGUAUAUAUAUACAAGCGAGGCUGAAUACAUGCUACCUUUACUGUGGAAGAAAUAAGUACAUCAGCAAUUCUUUUUGUUCCUUGGAUACUUUUUGCAGUGGAAGGUUUUUGCUCUGGGCGGAAGCAGUAAGGAACUAUUCUUUGCUUUGUAGAAGCAACAAGACUUUGACAAACUUAUAUGCUUUUGCAACAGGGGAAGAGCUUGCUACUUGAUCCGGGGCCUCACAAUUUAUGUUUUAUACAAUUUCGUACAAGUUGAUCUUUGGUGUAAAUUAGUCGGAUUUCGGUGUGAAUCAGAUCCAGUUUAAUAUAAAUCAGGUGCAGUUCAGUGUAUAUUAAUUUGUUAUUAUUUGGUAUAAAUCAGAGACACUUAGAUAUAAGUUGAUUAUUACAAUUUAGUGUAAGUUAAGGUCAAUUUGAUGUAAAUUGAGAGUAAAUUGUUAAUUUACAUCAACUUAUACAUAAUGGAACUUGUGAGGCCUAUUUCUUGCAUAGAACUUGUGAGGCCUAUAAUUUUGGUAUCCAAAUUUUGACACCUGAGCAGUUUUAAUCCCCAAACUUUGGACAAAAACAAAUCCGGUACACAAACUUUCAAUAUUUGAGCACAUUUAGUAGCCUUAGUGUUUUUUUUUUUCAAAUUGUUACUUAAAAGAGUUGUGUGAUAGUCAUAUGUUCGACAAAUAUUAUAUAAAAAAAUGUUACAAAAAUGUAAAAUAUCUUUCUGACACUAAGGUGAAGAUGAAAUACAGCAAAAGAAGGAGAAAAGAAAUAAGAUGAGUGGAGUUGGGUAAGUGAUUAAAGUUUUUAAAAUAUCUUGAUACUUAGUGUCAGAAGGAUAUUUUACAUUUCAUUGGUAUUUUUUUUAUGCAAUAGUCACGCGAUUUUUUCCAAUAGCAUUUUGGAAAAAAAUUGUCAAAGGUACUAAAUGUGCUCAAAUAUUAAAAAUUUGAGUAUCAAAUUUGUUUUUGUCCAAAAUUUGGGGAUUAAAACUGCUCACGUGUUAAAAUUUGGAUACCAAAACUACAUUUUUCUCUACUUGUUUGUCCUUGUUGCUCGGGCCUUCAUCUGCUUUGGAUCCACAUGCUGGAGCCGUGCGUUGUGUAAAAUAUGACAAUCAAGGAUUUAAAAUACGACAAAACAGGAAAAAAGAAAGGGAAAAUGGCAAUCAUAAUUGCAACUUCGGCGACCAUUUUCUUUUUGGGUUAAAUACAAAAAACCUUCUUAUGAUUAAUCCAAUGUUCAAGUUAACUUCCUAUACUUUGGAAACAUACAUAAAAUCCCCUUAUGCUUUUGAUUAAAAUAAAGGACAAAUUACACUUUACCCUCUUGUGGUAUAACUACUAUUCACAUAACCCCCUGUAUUUUUAAAAGCUAUAUGUAACCUCUUUAUAGUUUGGACUACAUUGUCAAAGUGAUAGAAAUAAUCAUUUAUAAUAGAAUCUAUGAAAAUGUCAAAAUUAGCAAAAUAUAGAAAUAUAAUAUACAUGACACUCUAAUCCCAUAUGGUUUUAUAUUUUAUCAUACAACCCCCUUAUGAUUUAAUGUUUUAUCAUAUUACCCCCUAAUGAUUUUCAAUAUAUAUAUAUAUAAUCCCCUGUGGUUAAUAAAGAAUUUUCAACUUUACGUAGAGGCAUUUUUUAUUUUAGUUGUCUCCGUUAUGGAUUGCAAAUUCCGUCAUUUUGAUAUUUUAAUCCAAAUCAUGAGGGGCUUAUGUAUAGAUUUUGACACCAUAGUGAGAUUAUAUAAGAAAAUACUAAAUCCCAAGAGAGUAAAGUAUAAUUUGUCCUAAAUUAAAAUAUUAAGUUUUUUGUUAUAGUUAACAUUCAUAAAGGGUAAGUUGGUUAUUUGAUUAUAAGGCAAUUUAUAUUAUAUAAAAUGGGAAAAUAGAAAAUCUUUUUCUCUUCUUUCCAUCCAUACGCCUUACAAUGUAUCUCUUUUUUUGUAUUUUUUGGUUAAAACACUGUAUCUCCACCACUUGACCUUCCCUUAUCUUUCGUUCUUUCUUUCUUUUUUUUUUUAACUUUGUUCCUAUUCAUCUCUGAAUCACCCAUAAAUUUGUUAUUAUUUGGUAUAAAUCAGAUACACUUGGAUAUAAGUUGAUUAUUAUCAUUUAGUGUAAAUUGAGGUCAAUUUGGUGUAAAUUGAGAGUAAAUUAUUUAUUUAUUUAUUUAUUUUACUCGAGAACUUUCACUUACACUCCCUGCCACUUCCACCCAACCCAUCUCUCCCUCCAUAAAUUGUUAAUUUACACCAGCUUAUGCAUGAUGGAACUUGUGAGGCCCUAUUUCCUGCUUAGAAUUUUUGGUUAAAACAUUGUAUCUCCUUCUCACCACUUGACCAUCCCUUUUCUUUCUUUCUUUUUUUUUUUUUAAAAAAAACUUUGUUCCUAUUCACCUUUGAAUCACCCAUAAAUUAGUACUAUUCAAACCCAAAAUGAUGGCGUCUUCAAAAUUUCAGAAAUGAUGGAGUGCUUGAUCUACUUCUUCAUUUGUGCAUACAUGAUAUUUCUGUCCAUGGCGCCAGCCUAUUUAUGUCAAUUAAUUCCGUGCGGUGGCUGCUUGCGGUGCACAGGAGCGGUUAUCUGGAGAAGAUGAUAUGAGAAAAGAUGAUCAUAUCCUGUGAUUUGAUGUUUUACUACAUAACCCUUCUAUAGUUUAAAAACUUAUAUAUAACCACUUCAUAAUUUGGAUUAAAGUGUUACCAUCAUUUUUUUCAAUUAAAACUAACAGUCAAUAGCAAAAAUCAAAAUCAAACUAAUAAAUAAACAAAUUCACUACAUUUUUUUCCUUUCUUUCUUUCUUUCUUUUCUUUUCUUUCUUUCUCUCUCUUUUUUUUUGGAAGAGAAGUGAUGAUUUAAAAUCUGUACUUUGGCUUAUAAAAUCUUAAUUUUCUCCGGAUACAAAAAAAAGGAACGGAUAUGAAAAAUAAAUAAUUAAGAAAUAGAAAAGAUGGAAGGAAACUGAAAAAAUAAAUUAAUAAGAAACCAAAAAUGGAAGGGAAAUAUAAAACAAAUAAAUAAGAAACAAAAGGUACCAAAUCUUUAUUGACUGCAAAUACCAUUAUAGGCUUUCAGACCAAAUCUUUUAUGGUAUUUUAUAUUUAUUAUUUAUCUAUUUUUACUUAAAUUUAUUCUUUUUUGUAUUUGGAGGAAAAAAAAGGAAAGUAGUGAAAGAGUAAAUUUAUCAAUGUAUUAGUUUUGAUUAUUUUACUAUUGAUACCUAGAUUAAUAGAAAAACUAACGGUGAUGCAUUAGGUCAAACCAUGAGGAGGUUAUAUAUAGGUAUAUUAAGUCAAACAGGGCAAAGGGUACUUUAUCCUAAUUAUUAGGGCAAAUUACAUUUUAGCCCCUUGUGGUUUUCGCAAAAACCACAUAACCCCCCCAUCGUUCAAAAAGCUAUACAUAAACCCCCUGUGGUUUGGGUUGAACUGGCAAAUAGACGGAAAGCACCCACCGUAACGAUUCGUGGGCAAAAUGUCCAAAUUACCCUAAUAUAAAUACAAAAAGGAAGCAGAUGAGUCAGAUUCUUCCUUGUUCUGUCUUUGUCGUGAGAAAAGGAGAGAAAAACAUGACCACCGAAUGAAGGAGAGAAAUUUAACCCACAAAGAUCUACCAUUGAAGACCAAAAAGUAGCUGUGAAAGAGCAUCACGAAAGCUGUUGUUGCAUCUGGUAAGUUUUUUGACAUCAUUUUAGCAUAUAAGAUGCACUUGCAUGGUUUUUGAACAGAAACUAUCAGGCAUUGGAAAGUUAAUAAAUCAGUGAUUAUUUUGCUUAAGCGUUGAUUAAUUUAAAAUUUUGCUGCUUUGGGACAAUCUGUAUUAUCAUAUUUAAGCAUAGAAUAUUUUAUCGACUAGAAUUGAAUUUAUGCAUUAAGAUUAGGGUAAAGAAAAUUGCAUUCGGGAGUAAAGAAAAUCCCGCCUGCAUAAUAACGUUGAAACCCGCAAGCGGGAUUCUGUGUUUUUUCUAUUUCAAGGUUAGCUCGCAUGCGGGUUAAUGUUAUAUUUGAGCGCGAGAAGAAAAAAUUGGUAAUUAGGCUCUUUGGGCAUUAUAAGUAAAUAUUUAAAUUAAUGGCAGUUUUAUUACAUCAAUAUUAUUGUAUUAUCAUUAUUAUGAUUAUUGUAUUAUUUCUUAUGCAAAUAUAACAUUUAAUUAUUUAAAUUUGAUUUUAUUUUUACAAUUUAUAAAAUUUUUAUCACUUAUAUAAUAUUUUUAAAACCCUAAUACAUCUAAAUUUGAUUUUAUUUUUCAAAUUUAUAAGAUUUUUAUUUUAAAAAAUGGGAUACGGAUAAGAUAUCCGGUUGGUUCGAUUUGCAUAGGUGCAUAUGAGAAUAUCCGAAUACUCUUUAAACCCGCAUGCGGGUUUAAGGAGAUUAUGGCAACUCUCUGACACACUAGUUACCCGUCCAACUUGUGUGUAACUAAAAUAUAUUUAAAUAAUAUAUUUCAUAUUUUUGUUAUUUAGAGUUUAACAAAACAUUAAUAUUGGGUAGAUUUGAGGGAUAUGCAUAAUUUUGCAUAUUUGUAGGAAUAUUAGAAAAUGGAAAAUUUGGGUAAAUUCCCAAAUUUUGGAGGUAAGGUGCAAUCCAAGAACUAAAACAGUCAUUUAUAAAACCUUAACAGUCAUUUAUAAAAUAGUCAUUUCUAAAACCUUAUCAUCACUGCCUCACCAGUUGAACGAAAAUUGCAGGUUUGUUCAGCUUCUAUCUUCACGGCAUUUCUUCUUAUUUUUCUUUCGUUCUCUAUCUUGGGUUCCUUCACCAACUUUCAGUGCAAAGUCAGCAACAAAGUAUUUCGGAAGAUGGAAAGAGAUGAGGAGCACCCAUCUAGGCUUUAUUGGGUACGUCAAAUUGGUCAGGGGUAAUAUGGGUAUGUUUCCUACUGCUACCAGAAGAACAGGCGCGUUUUGCCCACGAAUCGUUACGGUGGGUGCUUUCCGUCUAUUUGCCAGUUCAACCCAAACCACAGGGGGUUUAUGUAUAGCUUUUUGAACGAUGGGGGGGUUAUGUGGUUUUUUCGAAAACCACAGGGGGCUAAAAUGUAAUUUGCCCUAAUUAUUAUUUUGUUUGCUUAAAAUCUUUGCGAAUUUGGUCAAAGUCCAGAGACCACAAAGUGAUCAUUUCCAUACUGCUUAUCUGGCCGGUUGUCCACCUCAAUAAUCAGACUCGGUCAUACAACCGUCAUAUAUGACUCUGAUAGAGCAAUUACUAAACAAAUAGUUCAGAUAAGUUUGCAAGUUCAUUAUCAAGAGGUCAAAGUUCAGAGAAACCAUUUCAUCCCCUUAGAAUCACAAUUUUAAAUAGAGUGAACUGACUUUAGCAAUAAUAAAUUAAAAUCCAUAGAAACAGACAUUUAAAAUAAACAAAACUAGACUGCUAGUUGUUUUAAACAUUAAUAGGAUAUUUGUAGGAAAUGCGGGCCAAAAGUUAUUGAGUUCCAGCCGUAUAGAUGUUACUGAAGAAGCUUCAAAAUUCUAACCUCUGUUUGUCUAAGCAAGCAGGGACGGAGCCAGAAAUUUAUUUUUGGGGGGGCUGAAGUGUAUUAAAAAUUUUUUUUUGUGACGAAAUAAAUAUAUUUAAUAAGUAAAAUUUAGAAUCAAUAAUUAUAAAAAUAAUAAAAACAUAUAAUUAUACAUACCCAAAAAUUUGUUAUUGAUUAACACUUGAAGUAUUGGUAGUUGUUGCACUCGAAUAACGAAGAGGAGGCAAUUGCAUUCUGCGAGUCUUCAUCCGUUGAAAACGUUGCAAUAUUUGCUCAUUUUCAAUUGUUGCAAAAAUAUCCUUCUCGAUGUAUACAACCAGACAGUCAUUCAUCCACUCGUCUCCCAUUUUGUUGCGCAAAUCAGUCUUGACAAUAUUCAUUGCAGAAAAUACUCUUUCAACAGAAGCAGUCGCAACUGGUAGAACUAAUGCCAACUGGAUCAGACGAUAAACAAAUGGAAAAACUGUAUUUUUACCAGUUUUAACCAUUUGUUGAGCAAGACUUCCCAAAUCUCCAACUUCUGAAAAUUGAGGAUCGCGUUGCACAUUAUAAAUAUAAUUUCGAAGUUGAGACUCAAGAUAUAAAUAAUCGUUACUUGAGAAGUCUUCAGGAUAUAAAUCAGCAAGACGGAGUAGUUUCUGCACAUUGAAUUGAGAGAAAGAACUUUUUGGAUCAAGACAUGCUAUGCAACUAAGCAAUUCCGUGCUAACUUCCGAGAAACGAUUAUUCAUCUCUUGUAUAAUUAAAUCAACAACCUGACAUCACAACAAUAAUAAAAUUAAUAACUAAGAAAAUCUGCUAACAAGUAACAAAUGUAAUGAAAUAAUAAUUUCAAAAAUAAUACCUCACAAAAAAUUUCCACGCGAUAAUGAUGAAAAUUAGUGAUGGUUUGACCUCUGCGACUGCGCCUGGCAUUGCCACGGAUUGCUAUACUGUCUUCCAUAUCAAUCACGGGAAUCAUAUUCAACUCACAAAAAUUGUUGACUUCAUCUAAAAUUAUUUGCCAUCCCUCUUCCCUAAAGUCUUGCAAUUGAGAUUUCAUAGUAUCAAUCAAACUCAUGGCUUGGACAAUAUUUUGAUCCCUUUGUUGCAAAACAAGUGACAAGUCAUUUGUGAUUCCCAAUAAAUACUUCAUCAGGUGCAAUGCAAAAACAAACUCAUAAUCAUUCAUUCUAUCAAUCAAACCCCUGGCCAUACCUCUAUUGUCAGAAGUGGAGGCAUCAUCUUGUAUAUUUCCCAAUAUUCCAAUCACCGAAGCCCACAUAGAGGAUAGACGAAGUAAUGUUAGAUAGUGUGAUCCCCAACGAGUAUCCCCUGGUCUUGCUAAACUAGUUUCUUGAUUUUUGCCUUUUCCACUAAUAAUAUCUCCACUGUCUAAAAGUGCAACAAUCUUAUCAUGUUCUAUUUGUCUUAAUUGAUCUCUCCUUUUACAUGAUACUCCAGUUAAAUUGACAAUCAUAGAGACAUAGACAAAGAAUUCACUGAUAAUGAUAUUUCCCUUAGCAACAGCAACAAUAACUAACUGGAGUUGGUGAGCAAAACAGUGAAUAUACAUCGCAUAGGGAUUUUCUUGUAAUAUAAGGGCCUUCAAACCAUUGAACUCACCUCGCAUAUUUGAAGCUCCAUCAUAUCCUUGACCUCUCAAUUUGGAUAAUGAUAAUCCGUGUUGCGCGAAUAAAGAAUCAAUUGCAUCUUUCAAACAAAGAGAUGUGGUGUCAGACACAUGUACAAUUGCAAGGAAACGUUCAAUCACACGCCCUUCUUUGUUCACAUAUCUCAAAACAACUCCCAUUUGCUCUUUCACUGAACUGUCUCGAGACUCAUCAACUAUUAGGGAAAAAUAAUUGUCUCCAAUAUCAUUGAUUAUAACACUUGUGAUCUCUGAGGCACAAGCAUGUGCCAGAUCUUUUUGAAUCAUUGGAGAAGUUAGUUGAUUAUUUGCAGGAGCAUUUUGAUUUACAACCUCAAAAAUCUCAGUAUUUCGCUGGCUAUACCACUCAAACAAUUCAAGAAAAUUGCCUCUAUUUGAAGAACUAGUUGACUCAUCAUUUCCACGAAAAGCCAAUCCUUGCUUCAAAAGAAAGCGGGUCACAUCCAGAGCAGCAGUUAAACGGGUGCGAUAUGCAAUAUCUAUUUCGCGCCCACAAGAUCGUAGCACAUUUGACACACUAUGCCUUUGAUCUUGAAAACUUUCAAACUGUAUUCUAGCAUCAUUAUGGCAACUAUUCACAGCUCCAAUAUGUUCAUUAAAUCUUUCCAUUGCCUUUUUCCAAUUAUUGAAUCCCGUUUUUGUAAAGGCAUCCUCUGCAUAUCGACCUCCCUUAUUUUGUGUUUUGAAAAGAAAGCACCAAAAGCAAAACGCCGCAUCUUUCGAUAUGCUAUACUCUAACCAUACAAACUUUUGAUACCAAAUAUCUUGGAAACUUCUAUGUUGUUGACCAAAUGAUGUUUUUGGAUACAUAUGGCCAAUCGGUUGGCAAGGUCCCCUAGUCAAAUACUCUCUUCGGACAUGGUCUCGAAGAGAAAUAUCAAAUUUCUCAACUGAUUUUCGUAAUCCCGGAUCACUAACAAUAUCAUUUAAAUUCAAUUCCACACAAGAUUGAUUUUGAACUGGUUCACUAAUAUUAGGCUCAUUUGAAGAUUCACCACUACGGACUCGUUUAGGUUUAAAGAAUCUCUCCAUUUUCUGUCACAAUUAAAUAAUUGUGGUUAAAUUCAAUAAAAUUAUGCAAUUCAAUAAUCAAUUAAUUUAAAAUUCAUAUAAAUAAUUCUUUAAUUUAAUAAUAAAUUCAUAUUACUUAUAUUUCUCAAUUUAUAAAAUUCAUUAUAUAAAAUUAUCAAAAAGUUAAAAUAAGGUACAACUAAAUACCCAUAUAAUUUCUAAUUCAAUCUCAUAAAAUUUUGAAUUUAUAUUUACAUUCAAAAUUUCUAAUUCACAUAAUUAAUUCUUAAAAUUUCAAAUAUAAAACUAACAAAAUUUUAAAAACUAAAUACAACCUAAAAUCUAUACAAUUUCUAAACUAAUUUCUAAUUUAAAUUUAAUAUCAUUAAAUUUUUUAAUGUAAUCUUUCAAAUUCUUAAAUUACAUUAACAUAAACUAAAUAAAAAUUAAUCUUAAUCAAAUUAAUAUCAAGAUACUCAAAAUUCAAAAAUAAUUUAAACAUAUAAUUAACAAAAAUAUAAAGAUGAAUAUUGUAAUUUAAACCAAAAAACUAACCUAAAAGAUUUAUGUGAAUGGAAUGGUGGAGAGUUGGAGUCUUGGAGCCUUGAAUUGAAGGCUUGAAGCAGGAUGGUAGAAUCUCAAGUUCUCAACUGAAGCUUCUUGGAGUUCUUGGAGCCUGGCGUGAGUGGCGUCUUCUUCUUGGAGUUGGAGACUUGGAGUCUUGUUUCAGUUGUUUGCCCUUUGGCCUUUGGCAUUGGCGGCGACGCGGCGUGCUUUUGCAUCAGAUGAAGCCUUAGGGCUUCAUCUGAUGUAUUUUUUUUUCCCUCAUUAUACAAAACGACGUCGUUCCACUAAAAGUGAAACGACGUCGUUUUGUAUUUAGAGGGCAAAAAAAAAAUUCAACAUAAAUUGGGUCAUCUUCUUCCUCGGACCUCAGCAGUCAGCAGACUCAGCAGUGCUGGCAGCGGCUUUCCAGGCCCAGCUAUUCUUGAGGUCCUCUGCAGCAUUCAUGGAGGCAUCAGGCAUGGAGCCAUGGACAUGGACAGGCACGGAUUUAAGGGGGGGCUGGUGGGGGCUGGUGGGGGCUGGCCGCCGGAAUCCCCUAUAUAUAGGGGAUUUUCCGGCGGCUUGGGGGGGGCUUAAGCCCCCACCAGCCCCCCCUUAAAUCCGUGCCUGUAAGCAAGAGACCAAAAAAAUCAGCUUGGAAAGUUUUGAAGAAAGGAGUGUCAUCAGCAUUGCUGAUCUAAAGACAUAUAGAAAAUGUUUCACAAAUUUUCUGCAUAUGCUAUGAAUAUAAAAUGCAAAUGCAUUUUCCACGGACAAAAGUGCAGAGAACUCAUUUCAUCCGGAUGCAAAUCGUGAGUUUAAAGCGAGAGCUAAUCUUAGAAAUAAUCUUGUACAUUGUUACUUGAUUAGUUAAUUUGUUUCACUUCUCUUUUAUGCAGAACUUGCUUUGGUCACCCAAGAAAAUCUUGUGCCUUUGGUUAUUCAUACACAAACAAGAUAUUAAGUCAAGCUUCCAUUGAAGACAUGCAACCAUCACCUAUUUAUGGUAAUGUUUAUGGAGUACCUAUAACUUUCAAUCAAGAUACAGAAACCUAAGAAAGACGCCAGACAAAAUUGAAAAGAACAACUUCAUGCAAUUGUUCAUUUUUGGUCAAGCGACUACCAACAUAAGAUUUACUCAACAUCAUGUAGACCCAGUAAUUUUGGAAUAACUAUGAAUCUUAAAGUAAGAGCAUCAUUCUAGACAUACGAUUUUUUACUGCAAAUGGAGAACAGGCAAACUCAUAAAAUCAUGUUGUAUGUAAUGGAGCUAAGAUACAACUUCAAGAAGGGUGGUGAGUAGCUUACAGAGGCCAACUAACAGACAAUAAGCAGUCAUAAGACAGACUGACAAUUUUCUGCAACUAGAUUGCAGCUAAUUUGAGAGGCAAGCAGUAUGAGACAGAUUAUCAAAUGAGGUCCAUAAUUGACGAAUUGCUACCUCAUGUCAUGACCAACAGGUUGAAGGCAUCGCAUUCACAACGUAGACCUCCAGCUUUGGCCAUCUCAGUCACUUAGAAGCGAAAGAGAGUGCCAUUCUAUAAGUUUGUCUCCAGUUUGAAAAUGAUGUGGUUGAAGAAGGAAUAAUGGGAUAUUGAUACGUAUGGCAGUAAUUAAGCCAUUGAGGUCUCCCGUGAGCUCUGAGCA